rnacentral:lncRNA from 1 species
AACCUGGCAAAGCUAAAAAGAUGUUUGAUGGCUAGUGCUAUGGCUGGGACCCUAUAUGUACUGUUGAUGAAGGUAGGUGCUGUUCUGAGCAUUAUUUGUGGCUAUAGAGUGACGCUUUGGUUGAGGUUUGCACAUGGAGACUUAGACCGCUCUGUAUUGCUGUCGUGCGGUCGUAACUAAAGUUGGUAUAACUAGAGAAGCAAGUGGUCAGCAACAUUCUUCUCUCAAGGCAGUGUCUAACCUGGUGUCACAGUGUGUUUGACCAUGACUUAAACUUACGCCUGAAUAUUCCUUUUGGGUUGUCCACUUGUACUUAACUUUCCCUUUCUUUCUUUCUUUCUUUCUUUCUUUCUUUCUUUCUUUCUUUCUUUCUUUCUUUCUUUCUUUCUUUCAUCCAAACUUUGAAAAAAGAAAACACAUCAAAGCACAAUAACUAAACUAAGAAAACAUGGAAAACUUGAAAAACACAACACUCACAUCUUUAAUAUUGAUUAUACUCAAGAAUCUGCAGAUUUUUUAACUAGUGUCUGCUCCAACACAGACUUUCAUGCUGAUUGUUCCGCUAAUGUCUACACAGUGUUUGUGCCUAAUGCUGCUCUCUGUCUGGAGAGAAGCAGUUUUUUUUUUUUUUUUGUACAAGACUAUAAUUUAGUCAGACGUAUUUCUGUAAUGACAUCUGUUACUGAACAGCAGAGCAAAAACAAGUGAGCUGAAUUUAAAGAGGCUGCAGGGAAAUUACAAGUUUGGCUUCCAAGUCCACUCUUCUCUCUUGAUUACUGACUAAACUGUCAUCGACACCACAGACUGUGCUCAUAAUUUUAAUUUCUGACUGACAGAGUGAUCUCUGUGCCACCAAGACACAAGUGCACCAUUGAACAGAGUCAAAUUACAGAGACAAUAAUAAAAGGGGACAUGUGCGAGAGACAGAGGGGGAGGGAUCCAUUAGCCCUCCCCACUCCGCCUUUUUACAAAACUGUUGCUAAGCUACCAAAGAUUCAAGAGCAGUGAGAGGUAUUUAGCUGUGCUAAAAGGAGCAUUUGCUCUCCACUUAUUUGUGGGAGUACUUAACACUUGGUACCUACACAUGAAAUGUGUUUCAAAUUUUCUGAAGAUAAAGCUCCAGUAAGGAAUGAGCUCUCAAUGACGGUAAAAGGGGGAUUAUAACUUUAAAAAAAAAGACAUAUAAAAGGAACAGGACAUUUACCAGACCUCUACUGAACAUGUUGAACAGGCUGUGCUCUCUUGGAUGGUUAUGAGGGCGUCUCCCUUGGGAGAAAGCAGGUAUUGUUGCUGACUUUUGCUUAUGAAGAUGCAGAAGAGCUGAGAGUCAGAGAGAAACCAUGAUGACGAGUGGAGGAUUUUAAUGAGGUGAUAACACCUGUACCCUAACCAAUGGAACAGAGCCUUCAUAAUGCUGUUAGAACAUUAAAGCAUACUAAGACGGACACCAAUGAAAAUCGUUAUAUUCUUGUUGUCUACAUGUUCAUAUUCCAUUUUUCUGAUGCAACAGGACAUACCAUGAGAAAACUAAGAGCAAAAUUGCAUUUCUGAGUAUUUUUUCUCUUGAUGGCUGGUAUUGGGCUAAAAAAAAUCCAGGAAAAAAAAAAAACAGUUUUUCUGUGUGUAAAUGAAUGCGCAGCACUGUAGUGUCAUUGCAAUUUACCAGGGUACGUUGUACUUUUCCAUACUAGAGACUAAACCAGGCCAGGCAUACUAAAGGCCGACUUGCAGUCACACUGCAUAUCAAACACAGUGUGAAACAAGCAACAGGUGAGGCAGACAAGACACAGGUGAAAUUCAUGGGUGGUUAAUGAAGGAGGGAAAACUAGGGAAGCAAAACCAGACUAGAAACACAAGGAAUCAACUACUACAAAAUAAAAUGGGAAACACUGAGAACUGAUCUAGAGAAUAACUCAGAGAACAGGAGAGAAACAGGGUCAAACACAAACAGAAAACUUAUAAGACAGUAUCACAGGAAGAAUAGGGAACAGAAACACCAGGGGAAAAUCACAAAGAAAAUACACUCAUAUAACAUAACCAGGGAAAAACUAAAUCAACAGAACAUAUCAUGGCAAAAACCAAAGAGACAGCAGCUGAAACACAGCGUUCCAGAUGGAGGCUGAAAUAAUAUUUUUUUUUACACCAGAGUGUUAAAUUUGGGGCUUUUUCUGAUCUGAAAAUCAUGUAAAAAUAUUAAAGAGGUUUUAGAGACAAAGUAUAGAGUCUUAAAAAAAUGCAGCAUACCCCCUUUUUAAAGUCAAACCUUGAUUGGACUGAAGCUGGACAUAGUUCACACACUAAAUAGCUUGGCAGACACCGCCAGUGUUUCUCUGUGAAUGAUGACCUUGUUAACUGGUGACAUUCAGCUGAUUGAAUGUCUAACGCCUCAACUUUUUUAUUAGAGAAAUAUCUGAUGAGUAUAACUUUGACAUUUGACAAAGACCAAACCAGGAUGUUUGCAAGGACUCUUUUUAUGCUUAAACAGCUGUUGUAACCAUGACAACCAUGAACACAGUUGACUGAUAGUCACAGGAUUACAGGGUCAGUCUUUGAAUAAAACAGCAGGCGCUUUGAAACAGUGGUGAUCCUGUCUGAAUGCUGUGGAAAUCCUGUGCAAUCUGCUCUCCUAUUAUGCCCAGUCAUGUCACUCCUCUGUUGACCGUGUAUAGAAUAACUCAGAGUCUAUGAACUCCUCCUGUUCACACUCUCUCUAUCUCCAACAAUAUCAUCCACAAGUCUAAGGCUACAAUCUAUAUGAAUGGACUGAUAAGAAAAACUCUGAGUUGUAAUAUUGUAGUGUAAAACAUAAUUAGUUUAUUAUUCAGAUACCUUGUGAUGAGCUUACAGUUCAAAUAUACUUAGAAAAUUCAACCACACAAAGUUGGUGACAGUGACUCUGUUAUACCCCACAUGAAUCUGUAUGACUUACAAAUGUGUGAAUCUGUGAGGUUCAUGUUUUAAAACAGACCAAAGGUUACAGCAAGUUCAGCAUCUACUUUUAAAAAGAAGAUUUCAGCAUUUCAGUAAGUUUAAACGUCGGACAGACUGAGGUGAUCAGUGAGUCAGGCUGCAUUAAUCUGACUCUGUGUGAAAGAGCACAGCACCAGAGAUGGUUUGAAAGUGAACUAAUUACAUGUUGUAUCAGAGAUGUUACCAUACUUGGAAAUGAAGGGGUGUGGAAGAGUCUCAACUCAGUGUGUCCUCCUCCACUCCUUAUUUCUUCCUGAAUGUCAUCAUUCUGUUUGCAGUGUGCGAACAGUCCAAAGUUGUGGAGAUCUUCAUUUUGCUCUAGAGGGCAGUAGAGUUACAUGAGAUUUUAUAGAUUAAAUCAGUCAGCCAAUCCAUCAGAUUAUUCUCCUUUCUUUAUAAUAAUUAUUAUUGUUUUUAAUUUCUCUGGAUUCAUUCACACAUAUUAGAAUUUGACUUUUUAGGAUAGAGUUCAGUUUUUUUUUUUUUUUUGUAUGCGUUCAUCUUGGUUUUUGUGUCAUUCCUUCAUCACAGACAGAGAGAAAUAUAACGCUCUGCAUUACAAAAAAAUAAAAAUACUCUGGCUAAGAGUAAAAUAGGCUCAGAAGCACAAUGGAGUAUAAAAGGGUCACUGUCUUUGGUUAUUUAUAGUAGCAGCAUAGAGCCAAGUUUCUUGCGUUGAGCAACAGGUUGCAUCUAAUCCAGCCCACAGCAGGAAGGAUGGAUUAAUGCAGGAGUAGCAGUGAGUUCAGCCAAGGUUCAAUGAACAACAAACCACAGAGAGGUGACAACAGAUAAACAAAAAAAAAAACAAAAAAAAAAAAAAAACUUUGUGUUAAGUGCAGUCUUUUCAAAAGCAGAAUAUUUGGAAAGUUCACACAGUCUUUGUUCAGUGAUAACAGACAAAUCUAAUAAAAUGUUACAACAGUGAGGAUCAUUUCUGCCUCUGAGCGUUUAUGAGGUGUCCUCAGUUGGAAACACACACACAGUUUGUCAGAGAGGUUAGACUUCCUAAAGAGAACUCAGAGGAAGAGAUUCAACAGCUUUCGUUUAGAUCUUCACCAUCAGCAGAAGAGAACGGACGACAGGAGACCACUCUCAGCUCUGUCAGCCCCUCCCCAUCUAAUAUACACAGAUCCAGAAAUCCUCACACAGCUGACCUGCACUAACGUGACAGAGGAGACUGUCUUAAAACAUCACCUAAGGUGUGCAAAUACAUAAUCUCUAAAGGAAAUGAUGUCCUACAUUUUCAAAAGAAGUGUGGAAUUGCCUUGUGUCUUUGGCUCUGAACAUUGCAAACUAACAGCUUGUUACAAAGCAAAUUGCCUAUUGAUUGAGUUGAUGGUUAUGUUAUUGACAGGUUAACUACUUCACACUCCUCGAGGGGAGUCACAUCAAUGACAGGAAAUUACUACAGACCUGUUCAAACCACCAUGUUGAGAUUCCACGUGUCGACUUUAUUAGAAAGAGCUCAUUUAGAGGCUCUUGUUGCUGAAUCAGAGAUUGAAAAAAUCAAAGUGUCUCUGCAGCUGCAGCAGCUCUGCUCUGUCUCGACAUGAACAGGAGCCUCUAAUCUGUGACCCUGAACAUCAGCAUGGAGAUUAUCUAUGUCUGAUGUCUUUAUGUUAAACAUUCAUCUCAGCCAGCACGCUGCUUUAUCCUGACAGCAGGUUACCUCCGCCUCCUGAUAUUUAUAAGUCAAUUCUAAAGAGAGCAUGAAGUAUAGAUUUGGAAACGUGACACCAAAAGGAAAUAUUGCUCAAAAGUUCAAGCAAAGCAUUUAGAUUUUGAGAUCAAACAGUCAGGACCAGGACCACCUGGAAGAUUAAAUAUUAAAACAGUCAUAACUGAACACUGACAUUCAAAUGGUUUGGUUUAAGAAACAGCUGCUCCAUAUAAACAUGGCACCAGGUUCACUCAAACCAAAUAAAAGACUUGUAGCUAUAGUCAGCAGUUUAUUUGGGCACCAUGGUCACAAAACUCCAGUAGCUUGUGUUGGCUCUGACUCCAGGCUUCAGGAAGUGACUCUGAUAAAGGACAGUUUGUUUUAAAGGAAAAACCUUGCCUUGGCUUUUUUCCACAGUCACUGAUGUAUGAGUGCAUCCUGCCAGGUGGUGAAAAUUAAAAUUUGAUUACAAGAGGAAAAUCCUACAGAUAAAGUUGGUCAUCUAGCAUUGACAUGACCUUAAAGACCCACUCUGAUGAAAAUCAUGUUUUUCUUGUUGUCUUUAACAACAGCAUUUUUCUGAUGCUACAGGACAUAUAAGAAAACUAUGAGCAAAACUGCUUUUCCGAGUAUGAGUGCAUUUAAAUACAGAGGGAUUUCCUAUGUCACAAUUCCAAGCUCCGCCCCCAAGACUGUGUGGUCAUGAGGGACCUCAACACACAGAGGUCCAGGGGUUUUGGUAUUGUCACAUACUCAUCUGUACAGGAAUAGAGAGGACAGUUGCGGAACAUGCAUGUGCGUUAGCAGAUUGCAAUGCUCAAAAGAAAGCUAACUAUGAUAUAAACCUCCAACAUGCCCCUAAAGACACUAGUGUCUGAGAGCUGAAUAGCUACAAGCGAGUGUGAAGAGGAGUGUGAAGAGGAGUGUGCAGAGCAGCGCAGUCUCUGCCCACAAGAGGUGAAUUGCUAAUAGCUACUGGAGCUCAUAGAAGAAAAGCCCUUGAAAAUGACACAGAUAAUGUGAUUUUGGCUAAAAACUUCAUAAUCACAAUUUGAAGACCACUGAGAACACUUUGAGUAGUAAAAUAAAUAAAUAAAAAUAGGAGUGGGACUUUAAACAAUAGGAGUGGGACUUGUGAACUGCAUAGCAACUAUAAAAGAUAAUAACAGAGACAAACUCCAAGCCCAGACUUCUGUCAGGUGUUGCAGAAGGUGACAUGUGGGCCAAACUCACUGAACAACAGCAUAGUCAUUUAAUAAUGUUAUGAUAUCAAUCCAACAAUAAAAGGCACUCUAACUGAUUUUAACAGGACAUAAUAUAAACACCAGUGUUUGUUUAGUCAAAUUGCAGGUUGAUUUUCUGUUAAAACAUAUUUGAUUAAGCACAUUCAGUGUUUUGUUUGAAAAGGUUUGUGGACCAUAACAAAUGAUUCCCAGGGCUGCUGUUGUGUGUUUCAGAAAUGCAUCACUCUGAUUUACACCCUGUGAACCGCAGCCUCGUUAAUAUAAUGGAGCUGAGAGAAAUCAGUUCAUGUAAAAGCAACAAGCAAGUUAUAAAUAUUAUGGAAGACAAUAAAUAAGAGUGACUUGGGUGAAGUGCUUUUAAUUAGCUUCUUAUGCUAAGCACUGUGCAGAGGCGCUGGAGUGUGAACUAUUACUUAUUGGAUUCAGAGGACAGUGCAGUGUGGAGGCAGUCGGCUGCAGAAGCAUGUUUCACAUCCAGGACUGAAAACACACCGAGCUGCAGAGAUUGACUCACCGAGAUGGUAAUUAUUGUUCAGCUGAACACUGUGUGGGCCACAAAUUCAAAGACACAAACAGGGUUUCAGGAGUGCACUUCUACACCUCCAAGCAGCCAGGCACCCUAUCUCCACCAUAUUUAUUUCAACAUCUACUCACAAUCAAUAGCAUAGCACAAAGCAAUUGAGUCAAUCAUGCUUUUUUUCAGACUCCAUACUUCCUCCUUGAUUCCUCUUUAAUGUAUUUUCGUGAAUUUCAGAUCAAAAAAAGCUUCAAAUUUCUCACAGUGGUGUAUUGAAAUAUCAUUAUUUCAUUCUCUGUCUGAACAGCUUCGUUUUAGCUGGUGUCUCUUUAAGGCCCCCCUUCCACAAUCCUGCUUUCUUCUGAUUGGCCACCUCUCCAGAGGCUUUCUGGAACCGGGCAGAGCUCCCUGUUUUCACCCUGUUCUCUCUAUUGUGUUUAAUCAGUUAAGCAGUGAAGCAGCAUUACCUACAGUGACCAUUCUGCUUUGCCAGAAACUCUGUUUUUAUUUACGUUUAUCACAAUUUCCUAACUUUAAUGGAAUUGGGUUUUGUACUUUCUCAGAUUAUAACCUUGUGAUCUGAGUCUUUGCAUACAUGUAGUAAACUUUAUAACAACAUAAUCUCUGCACUAUAUUACAUCGAAUGUACCAUGACUUUGAACAUCUGUUGUACAACUUGAUGUCACUAUUGUAGUCUUGCAUCACAGAUGAAUGAUCACUCCAUCAUAAAGCUUUUACAAAACUUUACAUAGUGGUUUGUGGAUUAAUAGUUUAGAUAACAGUGGUUAUUGGCCACGAUUAUCAGCCCAUUAAAACAGGACUGUUCAUUGAUUGACUAAUUUCACAUUUUCUUGUCUUCUGACUUUCAAAGCACUUUUACAUCACGUCACAUUCACACAUUCACACCACUUUUACACAUUAUGGCAGAGGCUGUAGAGUGCAUCAGUUUUUGACUAAUUCCAUUCAUACACCACUUGGAAAGGGGAUUAGCAGGACCUAGAAUUGAGCCCUCAAGAGACCCUCCCCCUUUACGACGGAGUUACAGGCCUUGCCAGUGUGGACUUUAUGCUCUAAAUUAAGAAAAAAACUAACCCUGAGCUGCUGCAACAAGUUCCUGCCCUCUCUUUUCCAUGUUAGCUUUGUUUCUAUUAAAAAAUCCUGCAUGAAUAUUUGUUUUCUAUGCUGUACACAGUGAAAGUGACACAGCGGUUGUCUAACAGCUCCAGUUUUCAGUAAUCAAAGAGAUGUAAAUAAACUCCCCUCCAUCAUUUGAGAGAGGAGCACCCCAGAUGUGUCAGACAGAGCUCUGACUUCUAUGACAGCAGGGAUAAAUUUAAAUGUAGAUUGGAUCUGAUUCCAGCCCUGUUAGAGAAGUGAGUCUGAGAGCAGGAGGAGACACUGUAAGAUUUCCUGAAGUUGCAAGAGGAAGAAAUCACAUUCAGACAUGCACAUUCAUCGAUGGGUGCUGAAUCCAACUAAUGAGCAUGUCAAGAAAAUUAAGUUGUGCACCAGGUAGCUUCUGUUAGCAGGUUGUGACGUCUCGAGCCUACAUGCUCUCCCUUAGCCUUUUAAAUACACUAUGUUCCAAAAUCCUGUUUAGAAAUAUCUGUGCUGUCUUAUGAUGAAUGUUUUAGCGUUGGCUGAUUUCAGAAAUGAACCACAGUAGUGCAGUAUCAGAAAUAAAAAGCUGUUUCAUUUUUCUACAGAUUCUGUUGUGGUCCAUGCAUAUAGUCUGAUCCAGACCCACAAGAUGUCUACAUCAAGCUUUCAAUAAACUCUAAUGAAAACCCAUCUGGAGUCAAAUUAAAAUGUGAAUGAACCAUCCUGUAACACUUUCAUUACAGUUAAUGUUGGUUUGACUCAGAGCAAAUGAUGUGAAUGAAGUCUAAUUGGGGGCAAACCAAUGCAGGACCUCCACUGGGACACUGGGCCCCAAGACCUGGAUCAAUUAACUCCAUGCAUAUAUCUAACUAAACAUGCAACUCCAAUGCAAGUUGACAUACAAAAUCAUGUCAAUGUAUGCUUUCUCUGUGCAAAAGUGCAUGGGGAUUUUGCAUAAAUGGGCUUAAUUACAGUAUAAGAGCCUCUGCAUUUAAAAACCUGGUGCACUUAAACUCCAUGCUUAAUCCUGUUCUUUUCUUGGGCAAACCAGAGCUGACAUUUUAUCACCUUGCAUUGUCCUGCAAUUUGGAGAAACAAUGGGCUCUAUUUUCGUUCGCGCCGGUGAGGCGGCGGAGGGCGGCGAGCCCCGCGCAGUUGUAUUUUCGUCUGGCGGAGCCCAGCGUAAGGCCAAUUUGGUAUUUUCGUGGCAUGAGCCGCACGGAGGCGAGCCGAGAUCCGCCAAGCUGGGCGUGGUGGUGUGGCAGGGGGAGGUGUCGACAGAAUUAGCAGGCGCAGUGACAUUUUCGUGCUCGACACCGGCGUGUAAAGUGCGCUGAAAGCUCGCCGAUUCAAACCUGGUCAGCUUUCAGCGCAAGGCGGAACGCAGCUGGUCCAGUAGUAUUUUGGUAGACCGGCGGCGUAUCGACAUACGUCACUGAUGCCUCACCGGCAGGUUUCCACAGUGUCAGGCACAUUUCAGUGCAAUAAAUAAUCAUCAUCAACUAUUAAUGUGAGUCAGCACAUACAUUUGGAUCUAUAUAGAUAUAUUCUGAUCUAUAUCUGAUCUGAUGAGCGCGUUUGGCACGCGUUUGGACACACAACCUGACCGAAUCAACACAGCUGAAACCGCAUCAAAUUAAAUUAAAUAUCUAGUAAAUAUUCACACAUGAUGAAGUUAACUCGAUAUGUAAUUCGUCUCCCUCCUUUUCUUUCUUCCUCUUCCUCUUAUUUCUCGCACAGCUCGACCUGGACACGUCUCCGUGUCCUCUGUCCGUCUUGCUGCUGCUGCGGCUGAACAGAUGAUUUGUUUCAGUGCUCGGAUGCGUUAUCUACUUUAAGCCGACAUACGGAUAUUAUAAUAUUCAGUUUUGUGAGCCAAAUUUAUUUUAUAUGCCAACAUCUAUGAAAGAAAGAGCCAGGCCACAGAGCGCAAUGCGUCAUUUACGCACAGAUGGUUCCGAUUUUUAUGCCAUUUUUGGAGUUUAUGUUGUGAUCUGUGCGCUCAACCGACCUUUGUCACGUGAGGUUUGAAUAUGAGCAACUUUAUGUGAGUGUCUUUAUUUGUGGAAAAGGGUGUUUGUCUUACCACUGGGUCCAACAUUACGCACACUAAAUCCAUCUGUGCUCAUAUGAGAGAGUGUGGAGGACACUUGUUGAGGAGCUGCCCUCUGUCGCCAUCUUGUGGCAUUACUGUCUUAAGACAUCUCUUGAUCUCUUUGACUACUUCAUGAAAAUAGUAAUACGCCUCGCCUGUGGCGGAUUUAAAGGCAAGGAAAGGAGCCUAUGUGAUUGGUGAAAACAGGUCUCGGCUGUGUUAAACCCCUAUACGCACUCUCUCCUCCCCUUCUAUGAUUUAUGCUGCCGGGAGGAGCUGAGUUAGGGAGGGGGGAUACUUACGCCGGGCUGCGGGGCUCACCAAAAUACCAAAAUGUGCUUGGGAACGCCUUGUCAGCGCGGCGGAUCUGAUUGACGCUGCGCUUGCGGCAGAUCUCCGGCGAAGCACCAAAAUAGAGCCCAUUAUGUUAUUUUGAAAUGGAACAUAUGCUCCAUCUAAUCAAUUAUAAACUAAAUGAAUGAAUGUCCCUGCCAUUUACCCCCUGAAGAGGCGCAGUUACCUGGUUUCCAAAAUAGUCAUUUCUUCUUGUUCUUGUUCUUGUUCUUCUUCUUCAGAUGGUAGCUGGCAUCAAGCCCCCCCUACCACUAUGAACAGCAUGACAAUAAACCAAAACAUUGAUAUUUCCCCUGCUUUACAUGUAUCUCUUUUUUUACACAUCAACACAGACCACUUCCUUACACACUGAGGUUUAAAAGGACAGCACCAUGCUAAAGUGAACAUCUGUAUGAGAUGUUAAAGAGUAAGUGCGGUUUAUGAGACAAUGUGACAGAGCGUUGGUGUCUGACAGCCUGCAAUGAGAGCAGGCUGUUAUUUAACAGUAUCACUGAAGAGGUCGAGCUCUCUUCAAUAAGCCUUCAGGGAGCUGGCAGCAACAUAAAGCUGUUUAAAUGAUGCAAAUUUUUCAGACUCCUCUGCAACAAUCUGUCUUGUCAUGUUAUACAAGAUAAAUACGAAGAGUUGCUUAACACCCACUCAUUGCAGGUACAUGAAAUAUCUCAGAGCUGCUGCCUCCUCCUGCGGCAACAGAGAGGGAAUUCAUCAAUCCAAAUCAGGGUGAAGACAGAUCACUGGUGUCAGCUGUGGAAAUCUAUCAGAGUGACAGGAAACACCUCGGCCCUGGCCGAGCGAGCUCUGGGUACCAGGAGAGAGAAAGAGUCUCAUUGUUGUUUUAGUAAGGAUGGACCAUAUACUGUAUAUGGAAAGGACAGCGUCUGCCUCCUCGCUGGAUGAAAUCACUCCGGGAGCAGCACACCCUGGUGACGGGCUUGUAGCAAUCAAGACAACCCUGUAUGUGAAACUCACACAUUCCUCGCAGGAAAGUUUUCCUUAUCUGGUCCCAGGACACAGGAUAUAAAUCUUACCUAACUGACCCGAUCGGAGGUUGACCUAAACCUCUGGCUCUUCACAAUUGGUCAAUUCGAAGAACAGAGACAGAGUGUUUAUUACCUUUUAAACUGACGCCAUUGCUGACCAUCUAAAUAAUCGUUUGUGCCUUAAUCCAGGUCUCCCAUUUAAGAUUUACCGUCUUAAACAUACGGACCCCAAGAUAAGGUCUGAGGAGCAGGACACUGACCUCCAGACCUCAGUGGUAAAACCCUGCUUAACCAUGUACUGAUAAAAACUGCAUUCCUUUGGAGAAAGAAUACAAGAAUACAAAUGACUGAUCAUGACAUCUUAUGCAUUCAGCAAUGUACUAAUCUGUCUAAUCAUGAAAUUUGUGUUAAAAUAAGAUGUGUCCCAUUUUUCUAUGUGCUCCAGAAGCCAAGUUAUCACUCUGACAGAAUAAAUCCUUUAUUCUUUAGUUUCUUUAGACUAACAGCUUUUCAGACUGUUUCAUGAACUUUUAAGAGUUAAAUUUAUUGACUAUGAAUCAUAACUUUACUCUAAGUAACAGAAAUGGUUUAGAAAUGAUUAGUUUAUAUUUUAAUCGUUUAUUUAGUAUUUUUAACCAUUUGGUGGUUAUAAUGUCAUUGAAUAAUCUGAAUGUGAGUAUUUAGAAUCCAUUAUUAAUCAUGAUGAGGUUCAUUUACAUAUGCUUACUCUUUUGUUCACAGUUUCGAUGUGUUACUAUCUGUUUCAUUUCAGAGGAAUUUAGCAUGUUCAAUGUGAUAUUUAAAACAUAAUGAGAAUGUUUGAUGUGAUCCUACAUUUCUUUAUAUGUGUUUAGUAUCAAAUUAUUUAUCAUGAAACCAAACAUUCAAUGAUAUUAAUCAGAGUGAGUGAGUAUCAGAUCUGACUCUUUUACCAGCAAAACGUAUAAGUUAGAUCAAAUAAUCAGAGAUCCAAGGUCUCCUCUGCAGCCGGAGACCCCACAACCCCUCCUCUGUCUCCUCACACACACACACCAGAGACACUCCCAGUGUGAGAAGAUAAAACCAGAAAAUGGGGUUGCUCACUCGCCCUUACUCUCUUACACCCACUUCUUCACUCAGUGUCCACACCCUUCUGUGUUCCUCUUUCUUUGUUUUCUCUUAGCUCUUACUACUUAGUCUUACUUUUCCUUAGUCUUCUAAGUUUUACGCCACGUGUUCAUUCACGUUGAUUUUUCUUUAACAUCGUCUUAGUUCAAGUUUUGAAACUUCAACUUUUUGUGCACAUAGCAAUUUAAGAUUAAGUCUUUAAUUGAUUUUUCUUUAAUUUCGUGAGGCCAUUUUUGAAAUAGUUUCGAAAUAGUGUCAUCGAGCCUCUUUUUCUGAGUCAUCUACGUGAUUUCCAAGUCACCUCUGAAUGCCACCCAGCAGGCCCAAAGUCAUCCUCUGUGCCAGAGUUUUUGAGAGAGACCAAAGAAGCAUCCAAACGAGCAUCCAAAGGAUCCACAGCGCUGGCUUUUGCUUUGGGCCCGAGUACUGCAACUCCUGGCCCAUCCUACGGCUGAUUUAAGUCGUCUUCUGAGCUGAACCGCUCGAACCGCCGAUAUUUUUUUUAGCCCAGACCUUCGGUACCUGCUCCAUCUUCUCCAAGGACCAGUCUCACUUAAGUAUGCAAACCUCCAGAGCUCCAAACAGGGCUGAGGCUGUCUCGUGCAGUCAUAACUCAGAUAUUCACCUAUUCUGGUAAUCCUAGUUUCAUCCAAAUCCAUAUCCAAAUGUAUCUUGACACCAAAGUUAGUGUAGGUUAAUAUGUUAGAACAUAUUCACUCACUAUCAUUAACUUUAGUGCUCCUAGCCUGACCCAGAAUCUUUAUUUAUUCACCUAUUAUUAUUUAUCCUAAUUAUCUUAUCAUCAUUUAUUGCAUGGAUGUUGUACCAUCAUAUAUCCUGUAAUAAACAGAUCAUUAUUUUUCUAAACUCCUGUCUGUUAGUGUUCUUCCAGCAGUGGAGUCCCUUAAGAUAUGAGAUUGAUUCAUUAAAGAUUGACUUGAUGUUUGAUUUCUGAAUUAAACUUUUGUUUUUCUUUAUUUUCCCACCAUUAAAGGUGGGUGGUGCCCCCUUCAACGAGUGCAUAAAUGUCAUAAUUGCAGAUUAUUACUCUUCAGACAUUUAUUAUAAAUUCAAAUCGCUACAGGCUGCAGUAUAGGUCAUAACUCCCGCCUCCACCAGCAAUCCUUAAUGGAGCUGUGGACAAACUUCAGAAAUUAAUUACACAGAACGUAAAUUUUUCUCCUCCUGCUUGUGAUGUUGACAUGUAGUUAUUGUAAGACUGGUUUGUGCUCAAGUCCUCCUAUUUCUGUGCAGCUCCGUUUUUUAAGAGUUAUUAGGGGGUUCAUGUUUUCUAUGAUUGACACUUGAUACAGCCUAUUGGCGUACUAAGACUGUGUAGCUCACCCGGAUGAUAUGCUGGUUAAGCCGAGUGUCAUCACAGCAACUCUUGGCGACUCUACAGUUGAAUGCGCACAAUGCUACUGCGUAAGUGGUGGUUUCAGGAAGUGGAGAAAAGACACGAAAUUACAGAGAGCUUUUUGGCCUCAAAUCCGUAUACUGGUGGAAGGUGGAACCAAGUUGUCUAUAGUAUAUACAGUCUAUGGGUGGACAGAGUCAGCUCCAAAAGAGCUGCUGAUUCUCUCACCUGUCUGAAGCAAACAGGACAUCAUCCACUGUGAUGCUCCUUGAAUCAGAGCUCCGGUCUCAGCUUCCAUGGCUGGAUCAACUUCAAUUAUUCUCUCUCUUUUUGUUUCUUUCAGUCCUGGUAGCUGUUGAAUUGUUCAUGUCUCAGGAAGUCUUGAUUACCUAAAAAAGCUUUCUCAGAGGAACAGAUCAGUUAAAUGAAGUCCUUUGAUGAGCUAAGAUCAGUCCACAGUCAGACAGACUUUCUUUUUAGUGCAGAGACUCAAGGCCUCAGGAGGAAAAUCACAUUCAGAGUCUCCUCUCAAUUAGACUAUCUCCAACAUCUAGGGGACAAGUGUGUGUCCUAAGAAAUGCUGACAAAGCUUUUAGUGUGUGUGUGUGUGUGUGUGUGUGUGUGUGUGUGUGUGUGUGUGUGUGUGUGUGUGUGUGUGUGUGUGUGUGUGUGUGUGUGUGAAAAUGCGAAUUAACCUGGACACUUAAUUUCCUUCCACAGCUCAAACUACCGUCCUGUAGAUUAUUAAAUUCGUUAUGCCAGGGGGUAUAUAGAGUUUAAGUUACAGUACAGUGUAGUUACCAGGUGCUGCUAUAAAUGAAAUCUUUAUAUUUACUUCAGAUUAAACCAAAAGUAUUAUAGAGACAGAGUGUAAAACCUAAGGUUGCAUAUUUGCAGCAGCUUCUGUUUGUUUCAAACACAUAUGUUCAGGAAAACUCCAACAAGCAGGCAUCUGCUUGGAGGAGACAGAAAAAGUGCUGCUCAUGGAGGAGGCAGGGGGACCCUGCACUCUAAGAGGACAGGUUUCCAGCCCAAAUAUGAAUCAUUUUUCCCAGACACUAAAUCUAGAGGUUCUCCUUCCUUAAUGGCUAAUAUAAAAUGUUGACAUAGAUCUUCUACAACGAUAAACUUUUAUUAAUUAUGAAAAAGAGAUAAAUAACAAUUUAAAGACAGUUGUGCUGUAACUGAUACAGACGACUCCUUAUUUGCGGGUCAAAGGUAUAAGAAAGAUGACUUUUCACAGAAGCUUUAAACACAGUAAAAGGUGGCAUGGUUUAACAAGUAGCCCUACAAAUUUCUGUCUUUCAGCAGGAUUACCUGUUGAUUCUGUAUAACAGUGUGCACAACAUUCAGGCUGGAUAUUAAUGGGUUUGUGGUAAUCAGUGCUGUGAGUACGUUGAAGUUGUAGUUGUGGAUGCUGACACAAGUCAAUCUAACUCACAAAGUGCAAAACUGCGAAAAAUGCUUCUACUAAGCUAGUUUCCAGAGAGUCCAGGGCUGUAAACACACAGGUGGCCCAGGUAAAGCUCAUGUUAGCUCGGUUAACCAAGAAGGAGAGCUCAAUUCAAUCAGACAAAACUUGAUUUAAAGAUUUGGCUGUUUGGAAUGGACAGAAUACCAGGCAGAAUAAGGCAGAAUAAAAUGGUAUGCACCAGCUUUGAUAGAAGUUCAGUAACUAUUUGGUGGUAGUGACUAAUGGAACAAACUGAUCAUUUUCAUAAGCUUGCACAACACUGAUAAACUGCUACAAUGAAUAUAAAUGUGUGAGGAUCCUCUGACUGUAGAAAACCGUGUCUGAUAACUUUGUGUGUUUUAUAGCUGCAGCUACUCUCCAAAAUGUCUUUCUGCUGUGAACAGGUCCACUAAACAGGUUGCAGGGCAAUUACAUAGCCACUUUACCCAAAACCUGUCAGCUGCAGAGCUUUAAGCACCACCCUCAGGUAACACAGGGGCAGAGUGAGCAGCUAGAGGAAAAUUGGGGAACACUUUCAAAUCACCCUUUGAGUUUCUUUUUAUGUUGCCUCAUUUUUCUACACAUGAAAAAUCCAAAGUGAGAAAAGAGUAACACUCUUGUUUUGGUUUCUAAGAAUUGUUGCAGCGUCUUACUCUUGGGCUGUUUGGGAGAUGAAUGUGUUGUACUGUAAAACUUGUCUGAUGCUGCAUAGAUUGGUCCACGAAUCAAUAUGACCUAGUCUGAAAUAGAAAACUGAGAAGAGAGGAAGAACAGUUUUUCUCUGAAAGUAAAAAUCUCAAGGUCAGAGAAAUGAGGCUUUGAAUAAUACUUUGAUGGGGACAUGAGUGGAUGAGUUUUCGACAGUGUUUGUAGCAUUGUUUAUUCAGGCUGAUACAAUUAAUGCUCCAAAGGUGUCUCAAACUGAAUCUUUAGUAGGCCACAAAACACAUGUAGUAAAUAGUUUACCACUGGUGCAUGAUUACAAGCUCAUGAGAGACAAAGGAGCUGUAAAGUUGUGACCUGUGAUUUUUAUUCCUCCCUUCAAUCUUCGGGAUCAAAUAGUCUCUAACUCCUCAGAGCACCACCUUCUGGGUAAAACAUCCGUUUAAAGGAAUAACUCUCUCUGCCUUUUAUAUCAGUAUACUGGAUGUAUCACUGUUUGUUCAAUUGUCCUUUUACUAUAUCCAGUGGUUGUGAGGUUUCCUACAAUCACACACAGCAACACAACAAACAGAUACAUAAACCAGACACAGGCUUUAUAUGGGCAGGUGGGUAAAGAGAAAGUCUCUACCUUAGUGUAUCCGUGACACUGGGAAAAUCCCUGUCCCAAUUUUUCUUUCACAACUUUGGCAUCUUUCAGUCAUGUCAUGUGUUUAUCCAGAAUGUAAGUGUCAUGGUGAGCUGCUACCUUGACAUCCGCGGAGUUAGGUCCAGGGAAAACUGACUGCUGAGCUGACUAAACUUUAUGGGUUUGUAGAGCUGUUUCAGUAUAGAAAUAGACACAGCCUAAUUGACUGCUUCAACCUGCUGUCCUUUGGAACAGUCUGUGAUGGUCACAGGACUUGGGGUCAGUGUGUGUUUUCUUGCCUUCUUGCCUCUGUUUUCCUUUUCCAAAUCCUCCUUUCCAAAUCCCCCCCCCCCCCCCCCCCUAGUUUAGGGAUUGAGAAUUUAUGAUGGCUCUCUCUCUCUCCCUCCUGGAAGGAUGGUGCCUGGAGGCACCCUCCUUGGUUUUGUUUGGUUUGAUCCGGUGUGUUUAACCUUAGUUUCCUUUUACACAUAGCUUAUCUUAGCACAGAUCAUCUCACAACGACUUAAGGCUAAAACAUACAGGAUCUGUAUUGAGCGCACUCCGUCAGCGUCGUGCAUCACACAGCUAAUAGGUUGCCAUUCUAAUCAAUGCAGCUUCUCAUACAGGACGCGUCUCAGCUCCGUAUCAGAAGUGUAUUGAGCGUGGCUCUGCUAAAGAAAUGUGCCAAGCCUAUUUUUGCUGCUCUAUGCUUCCAACACGCAACAAUUUACACAGAAAAGAUUGUUCUAGACAGGAAGUCAAGAAUGGAAACCACACGUCAUCCAGGAUUUCAAAAUAAAACACCAUGCAGACUCCCGACCCUGUAUCAGUUUUUGAGAAAUACCUCCUGGUUCUGGAUUUAUCAGUAACUCAGAACAAUCCGAUGGUCAAUCCCUGAUACAUGUGGACCCCAGCAGGACUUUUUACCGCUAACUCUGUCUGAAGGGAACAACACAGCAUAAAGGAACAUAGUUUACUUUAUUAAACAUGAGUAAACCUGCAAAAAUCUAAUCUGUAAAACCACGUUGCUUUUUCACAUAUAGUAGAGGCUCAACAGUCACUGCAUUUUAACCAAAUUAGCAGGAAAUCAACCAAUAAAAGGUAAAACAACCUGCUGUGAGCAUGUUGUUUCCUCUAUGCUGAGCCCAGCUGACUGGGGCUGCACUACGCUGCAGCGACGCUCCAAAUACACAUCCUGUAUGCGAUAGACAGUGUUGCUCUAUGGAGCAGAUAUGUGACGCUGACAGAACACACUCAAUACGGAUCCUGUAUGUUUUCAGCUUUACACCCUCACCACACUACUGAUUGCUGACUUGACCAUUAGUUUUUCCUUGUUGAGUAUUUUAAUAAAUUAUUCUUUAUUAAAAAGCUGUCACUGUGUCUAACUCCCUUCUGUGUUAUGCUCUUCAAUGAGCUAAGCAUAACAAGCCACACUUGUAUUAUAUUUAAUCAAUAUGCACUUUGCACCACAGCUAUCUACGACCACUCACACCAAUGCCCCAACAUCUUCCUGUUAGUGCAGAAAAGUAGAAUUGGUUCUGUACCCCUCUCAGACCUUACUGACAGACACACACACACACACACACACACACACACACACACACACACACACACACACACACACACUGUCCUGGAACUGAGAUCAUUGCUCACUUUUCAGGAUUUUCAUCACGAUUUUAUAUACUUGCUGGUUUCUCUUUGCAUCAUUCCCUCACUUAACAGAGAGUUUUUAAUCCAGCAACAGCAAAAUAGAGAAAAGUUUUUUUUUUUUUUUUUAUUGUAGAUAAUGCAUAUUCAUUUUUCUGAGUAUACCAACUGGGCUGACUAAUGAGUCCAAUUUAUUCCUGUAAAUGGACUCUGUGGCGGCGUGUUGAGUCUGUGCCAUAUGGCAGACAGGUAUAGGAAGUCGUGAAGCUCUCAGCCGUACUGAGCACACAGCUGUUCACGUAUAAGAAGACAGAUGUAUACCUGCCUGCCUCUCCCUGGUGGUUACAAUGAUGAGCCCCAUUUGCUUUGAAAUGCAUGAUAAGCACAGAGAGACAUAGUGAAACAUAAUUUUGCUUUCAGGCCCUAUGAUGUGUUGAACAUUUGUUGCUGUAUUUUAGCUUAUACUGUGUUUUCAUCAUGUUUUAGACUGUCAAUGUUUCAGUGCGACCAAGAGUGGCCUCACUGUGUAAGUGCAGAGGCUGUGAUCUUCUCCUUUGUCAGAAUGUUGUGAAAAUGAUCUGCAUGCACACAGAUUGGUAAAAAUGACAGAAAAUACUGGAGGCUAGUAGGUGGAGGUUUAACUUUGUUCUGAAACACAACAAUGGUCACUGUAGAGGUGCAGCACAUCUCCACUUUGCUGGUAAAAUGAUUAACUAUGCAGAUUCAGCAGCACAAACACAGCACUGUUUGCUGCUGCUGCUGAUAUUGACCUUCCACUUGGGCAUGGCUGUUUGACUUAACAUAACAUGAGCGAAUGCCAUGACUGAUUUCACCUAUAUGGUGUUUUCAAUGUAUCCUCUGGAACCACAGCUGAAAACAAUGUCAUUUCCUGACAUGGCUGUUUCAAAAUAAAGGUACAGUAUCUCAAUUACACUAAGAACUUUAAGUUUUGCUGGACACAACAAUUAUCAGGAGUGACAGCCUCUUGUCACGAUAAAUCUCAUCUACACCCUUGGUCUUUUACUCCAUUGAUACUGACACUGUGGAUGACCAAAUCAUCAGUUGAAACAAACUUUUAAGCUGGCAGAUUCAAACAGCUGCAUAACUGUUCUUCAUCAAACUCAGGGAGAAAAUAACACAGGUUUACCUUGUUGUUGUCCCACAGCUAACUUUCUGUGCAAACACCAAUGUCUGCUUUAACGGUGGUAGUUGGGGGUGUGCACUGCCCACCUCUCUGCUGAAGCACAGCCACUUAAUCAGACAUUCUGCAGCAGGCGUUUGCUGACUUUACAGCCCACAGUGUUAAAGGCUCUGUUUGGAAUAUCUUAUGGUGCAGUUUAAGAGGCACUAAUUGGAAUUUGAAGAGGGUGUUAAACUAAAUUAGACUGCUCUAAUCUUGGUGCAUUAGAGGAAAAAUAAAACUAUUAAAAAAGCAGGUAAAUUGCAAACCUUUUUCUUCCUCCUCAGACAGCACACAAAACUGGAAUGAAAAUAAUGUUGCUGGAGUGAGAUCAUAAAACAGCAGCGUGCUUCACUCCACAAUCUCUCCAUCUCCUCCAAUAAAGCAGCAAUGUGACACAGAGCUGAGUGAAGGACACACCUGCAGAGAGUGUAACAGCUCCUGCUCCUCUGUGUUCACUUCACAGUGGAACAUUUAGGAGCCUAAAGAGACCCUCUUUGAUUUUUACGGCACAUUUAUUCUGAACAUUUAUGACCUUCACACACAUGCAGAGCUCUGGAGAGCUUAUUGACUCUUUGUGGACGUGAAGUGGGGACGUGAACAUGAACUCUAAUGUCCCUUUGAGUACAGCCUGAAUCCAAAGGUACAGAGCUGCAUAGUACUGAAAAAAUGACAUUGUAAUAAACAAAUAAAGAGUGAGCUUGUGGCAGCAUUUGUCUCCUUAGUGGAAGAUGUAUCCAAAAACUUGAAGCUAUAAUACCCAGACCUACAGUACAUGCAACUAGUAAAAUGUUGUGUUAAAUGUGCAUAUGCUGAGUAAGAAAAUAUAAAUUUAUAUUUUUAGUGAAUAAUUAGCCUAAUUUGUUGAUAUUAAUGGAUAUUUUUGCAAUGUGCAAUUGAUAAUGGUCAUAUUGGGGCAUCAAUAAGCUUUAUGAUCUAUUAUGCAGCCCUGCUAAAGAACAGAAGCCAUUUGUUGGUUGCUCAUCUAUUUUACAUUAACUAAUUUUUUGCCAAAUAUAUGUGUGUGUGUGUGUGUGUGUGUGUGUGUGUGUGUGUGUGUGUGUGUGUGUGUGUGUGUGUGUGUGUGUGUGUGUGUGUGUGUGUGUGUGUAGUCUAACAUGCAGCAGAUGGCAGAGAGAGUGACUUCAGUAUGGGUAUGUAAAUAUGAUAAAUGAUCCUGAAGAUGAAAUCAUGUGAAACUUCCAGCUCUGCAACUCUAAUUAGAAGAUGGUCAUUAAUCACAUGUUGCUCUGCUUCUUCUUAAUAAUGAGACUCCAAAAGGUGUAGUUCAUGAAUCCAAGGGGGGGCUGUUUAGCUGGGGGUAAUUGGUAAAUAUUGGAUUUUCUUUCCCUCUUUCCAUCAUAAAGUUUACAUCUUCAGAGUAUGAGACACUGAUUUUUAUCUCCCAAAUCAACACAAUGCUAAAAGCAUUAUGAACUAAAGCUGAUAAAUCAAUGAGCUGGUAUCACAUCAUUAUAUAACAUUCACUAAUUUUGUAUUCCCAGCCUUCAUUAUGAACUCUGCAGCAGUAAUUCAGAGCAGGUUUUAUUGUUGCUUCAUCAACUUCCUGAGGGUCUCACUCUGAUCAGACCAUCAUCAGCAGGGAGUCAUCUUCUCUCCAGUUUCACUUCAACAUGGAGGAAACUCUGCUGCUCUCUGACAACACAAAGGAUGGGUGGAGCCGUUUAGUGACUUUACACUAAAAAUUAUACAAAUGAUGGUAAUAAACCUGCAGUACAGGAGACGCAGGUUGAGAAACUAACAAAACUACACCUCCUAAACAUAGUUAAAACAAAAUGUGUCCUUAUACCAGUGGUAAAACUUUUUAAUCCACAAAUUCAUUGUAUGAUACAAAAGAUUGGACUCGAAAACAAAAAGGAAGCAGUCAGAAAGAGGGGACAAAAUGGAAGAUCACUGGACUUAGACUGCAUAAACACAAAAAUCACCUUAAAUUUAAAAUAAAACAUUCAUGCAACAGAGACACAGGAAGCCAACAAGUGUUGACAUCCUGAGAAGCAAAAACCCAACUAAACAGGAGAGCCCAGCCUCCUCAAACAGGGCACGUACAACUAGACAAUCACACUUAUUUGGGGCAUGACCUCCCCCCUUCCAAAAAAAAGGCCGGGCAAUGGAUGGUUCUGAAGAUGACCUCGCCAGAUUAUCUUGAAGUGUGAGUAGCCUUGUAGUUCUUGAGACCUGUCUCAAGACCACUUUUAUGUGGUUUUGGUCAUGUCACAGUCUCAAUAGUCUUUGGUCUUGGUCUUGUGUCUCUGUCUCAAUGGGUCUCAUACUAACAUAGCAGCCUUAAAGGAAUUUUCAGCUUGUGGUUGUCAUGGUUGUGCUUGAAGGGCGCAUAAAAAUAACGUGUUUUGUAAUGUGAACGUUGGCACUCAUCCUAUGCAUCCUGUGUAUCACUAUCAGAGAUCCUGUCAGUGCACCAUCCAAAGAAGGGGUAUGGUACAGCUAGUGUUUGGGGUAUGGAUCCAUCCACUGACAGAUCCAUUGAUAACGCUUCAAAAUGUAAGUUUUGCAAAGUGUGCUUGACAGAGGCAGUGGGGACAACUUCGACAUUCACCAGACACCUGUAGCAAAGACACUGUGAAAGGUAAGCUAGUUCUAACUAAAGACUAUGGUUCUAACCAUUAAUUCGCGCUGCACUACUAGCCAUUAGCCAUAAACCUGUCUUCAGAUUUUUCUCAAACCUGUUCAACCACUCAUGACCAAACAGAUCAUGUAUGUCAUUUAUUAUUGCUACUUAUAAUGCAUUCCCAUAUGUGCAGUAUUUAUUUAGGGACAGAUUUUUGCAAGCCUCUGCAUUGUAUUCUGCAGGAUGGGAAUCUAGUUGUGGUGAUGUGUGAUUUGGGGAGCGAAGGGGACCAAUGGAAGCAAACAAUAUCGUCCUUCGUGCAAAGAGUCCACUUUUAUAUCCCAAAUUCAGCCAGGCAGCAGGUCAUUACACAAGCCAUCCUCCAGGACCUUAUCAUUAGAUGCUCUCUGCCCUUGUCUCUGGUAGAAAAUCUGUAAUUUAGACACUGUCUUUCUGUCAUGGAUUGCAAAUACACUACUGUGUCGAGGGUCAGCUUGACAGAGAAGCAGAUACCUUAUCUAGUCAGCAAGACAAAGGAUGACAUCAUUAAAGCGCUGGAAGCUCAGUCAAGUGUUGCACUUACAACUGACCUCUGGUCUGAUAGGAGGCUUUGCUUUUUCCUUGGAGUUACUGAGUAUUUUGCUUGCAAGGACAAGGACUCCUACAGUUUAAAAUCCUUUUCGCUGGACUGUCUGCAUUUCACAGGGAUGCACUGUGGUGAACGAAUUGCCUCAACAUUUGAGGAAAUGGUAGAGUAUGGUGUGGACUACAAAACAAGCUACAUUCUGAUGGAUAACGCAUCCAAUAUGAAGCAUCUUUAAAGAGAAUGCCCGACCCAGGGCAACCUGGGAGUGACAAUGAUGAUCCCGAUGACAAAAUUAUGUGGAAGGACAUAGAGAAGAUUUUGAACAGCUGUGGUCAUCAGGUGAACGCUUGUCUUGCUUCGCCCACUCACUCCAACUGGUUGUUAAUUACAGGAUUAAAGAAGUUAGGGUGAUAGCAAGAGCCAUUGCUAAGGCCACCAAGUUCACAAUCUAAGGUUUGCUGUUGCAAGGUUCUAAACUGUGUUGUUAUCCGGCAGCUAACAACACAUGCUGGAACAACACCUUCAAACAUUUAAAAGCUCUUACCACAUUUGACAACGGGGCUGUCACAGAAAUGAAGAGUGAAUGAAAAUGUAGUAAUUUAAGCCCGAAAAUGGGCCAUCUCAAAGACCCUUUGUGCCUUGCUUGAGCCUUUUUCUGAGGUGACAGACAUCACAGAAGGGGACACUGUGGUUCCAAUCAGCAGGAUGGUCCCCACUGUCCUGGACUGAAGAACUCAACUCAUUAAGAUGGAAGUGCACCUGCCACAGAUUGUGACAAGAAUUGUAGCACUAAGUAAAGUCUCAGGUUCUCAGAAGGAUCAACAUAGAGCACAGAGGAGCCAUUUAACCAUCACAUCUACUUCCUUACUGCCAUGCUUGACCCUCAGUUUGGUUUGAGCUGGGUAGAUUUAUAUGUCCAAAAUGGAGAAAGUGGUCCAGCACUGACAAGGUUCAGAGACAGUCUUAAGAAAUCAUUCACAGGUGGCUAGUGUUGUUGUAACUGCUUUUUCCUUUUGUUUGUUUGUUUGUGUGCACUUUUUCCAGACCUUUUGAUCUGAGGUAGACAGAAAUCCAGCUGCUGCACUGAUAGCAGAAGAUGCAGAAGAAUCGUGUACCACCCCUGAAACAUCAGCAUCUUCUUUCACGCUACAAGGCUUUCAAGUAGCAACACGGCACAACCCACACUUGAGCAUUACUGCACAAAUAAACACCUAGA